AUUUUGAUCACAUGACCAUGGGGAUGCUGCAAUGGUUGAAUGAAAUGUUCUGGGGAGAUUAAAUAAAAUGGGAUGACAAACACUUCCUCCUUAUUUCACAAUGACAAGAAAAGUCUAGAAGAAUGGUGGAAGUGGAUGCUUCCCAACAAUAAAACUGAAGAUGCUUUGUGACAACCCCAGAUUUGGCAGUGAUUCCAUAUCCUUGGUAGAUUUGGGUUCUCAGUUUUCUAUUUGAGUAGAGUAUUCUAGUCAAUUAACAACAAUUACACAAGGAAAAUUCUAAAAACAGAAGACACAAUUAUAACACACUAGGCACAAUCAUAAAAAUCAUUCAAAAGGCUAUACUAAAAAGAGAUGAAUUGAUGGCUUUUUCUAAAAGCAGAGAGAGUGCAGGUUCAAUUUAGUUACAGAAGAAAUGCAUACAGAAUGUGCAGAGUAUAUAGAAAGAGAGCAUUACCUAAUAUAUAUGACUAGCCAUAUCUUUCAUGCAGGGACAUCUUUAGAAAUAACUUUUCUACUACUCUUAAUGUCCAGGCAGUUCACCAUAACAAAGGCAGACCUCAGAUAGUCCAAAUUAAUUUUGAUCUGAGCUUGAAAGGAUAACAUUAACACCCUAAAUUGACCUAGAAAAAUAAAUAUGGAAGGCAGAGUUUCUAUGCAUAGGUGAGUAUCCAUCACUUUGCUUCUGGCUAUUUAACUGUGUCUCGGUAUCCCUGUUGUUACCUACAAUCUGGCUGAUUUCCAUAUUAGAGUAUAAAAGUGGGGAGGAGGCCCUUUGUGUUUAGAUUAAAUGCCAUUUUCUAUGCUUCUUAUGAGGAUUCCAAAUGUAAAGAAACAUUCAUCACAAAUGCUCUUAAAAUAUGCCACUCUUUUAGCAUGCAAUUUUGAAAGCACUGCGUCUUCUCCCUUGCUAGGUCUUCAGUGGAGUUCAUCAUUGAAAUCUGAAAUGGUUUUCUAACUUACAGCUUUGUCUACAUGGACAUUUUCAGUAGGGUUUCUAGAGGAAUACAGAUCAGACCUAUCCAUUGAAGCAUAUAUUUUUUUCCCAGAUUAAUUACAAAAAAUAAAUAAAUAAAUAACGGUAUGACUCAUCAACACAACAGCAUUGGAAAAGACAUACCAUGGCACGGAUACAUUUGAGAAUGUGUCAAAGGUUUAAUUAAUUUAGACAGUGGCUAUAGUUUGAAAUGUCUACAUUUUUUGAAGCACAGGAAAAAAUGUAUACACAUGGUAACUCUCUCCCUCUCCCUCCCCCCCCCUCUCUGUGUGUAUGUUUGUGUGUGUUUUAAAUAUAUUUUAUAUGGGAUUGUAACUAGCUAGAUUGAGACAAGUGCUGUAUCCAGCCAGGGCAUGCUCAAUAAAAAUAUUACUUGAAUUUCUACAUUGCACUUGAUGAAACUAUUAUUGUUGGAAAGCUCUCCAGGAAGCCCAUAUGUCUCACAGGAACUGCUUGUUGAUCUGAUUGCUCCCAUGACUUAUUUCUGAUGCAGAGAAACAUCCUGUGCUGAUCUUGUUUUAUAUAGAGUUUAUUUUAUAUAACAGUGAUCUGUUAUUGGCAGGCCUCUCUGUCUGCUCUCUUCCUGAGCCAUUUUGUUGAUUGGAAUGGCUUACUAAAUAUUGCGGAACUGAGAGGAUAGGCAUGGCCAUAGAUUUCUUUGGGGUAACUCACAAGUUUUGUUUUCUUUAAAUAAUCCAUUAAUAUGUUUAUGACACUGAACCACCACUAGCAAUUUCCUCCCUUGUCUGAAAUAUUUUUGCAUGCUCCACAAACCUUUAUUAUUAUUAUUAUUAAUUCAAGUCAUUGUUGACUCCUGGCAACUGCUCGCACAAGUCCCUGCAGUUUUCUUGGCAACAUUUUUUUUUCCAGAAGUGAUUUGCCUUUGCCUGCUUCCUAGGAUUGAGAGAUAAUGACUGGACUAAGGGCAGCCAGCUGGCUUCAUGCCUAAGUUGGAACUAAAACUUGGUCUCCUGGUUUCUAGCAUGAUGCUUUAACCACUAUACCAAAUAGGCUCUUUUAGCAGAAUGUAAAGAGAAAAAGAUUUACCACACAUAACAACUAAAACACAUUGGGUCAAAUGAAUGUAGUCAUGCAUAAAACGUUGACUGAAAACAUGACAGCACUGAGAAUGCACUAAUCCUGAUCAGAUUUAUUUCCAGAUAGAACUUCAAAAGCAAUUUAUUUUUCUCUAAGCUGCUUAGUCAGUAAUAAUGGCAAAGAUAUGGGAUUGACUUUAAAGCAAAUCACAAAUUGCUCAUGUGCAAGUUUCAAAUUAAGCUAAAAUAGUAGAAGAAAGCCAAUCAGUUUCCACAAUACUGGUGGAAACUUGAGCAUUUGUCUGAGAUGAUAAAAGGUCUCCUACCAUAGGCAGAGGAUUGGACUAGAAGACCUUCAAGAUCCCUUCCAGUCCUAUGAUUCUAUAAACCCACAAUUUUUAGGGUGAACAUCAGGAAAUGCUUUGAAAUAUUGAACCUCGUGAUUGGAAACCAGAAGAACUAUGUAAUGAACUUAACAAAGUGUGAAGGAUGAACACAAACUCAGAUUGCCAGAGUUCAAGAAACAGAAGAAUGCAAACUGGAUGUGAGGGGGAAAAACAACAACAUAUGGAGACUGCAAAGCAGAGAAGAGAAACCAAGACUAAGAAAGUGAAAGAUCAUAAAAAUAAAAUUAAACAUUUAAGAGAGCUGCUAGAAGUCAAACUAUGGGAUGUACUUAGAAAAAUAGGAAGCCCAGAACUUCUCACUUGAAAUGUAUGUACAAGUCAGUCACAGUCUAGGUAGAACACAGUGAAACAGACAAAGUUUGGGUUGGGAAAGGGGUGAGAGAAAGCUACACACUCUCUCCUUCUCUAUUCAGCUUCUAUGUGGAAUAUAUAUUGAAGGAAACUGGCUAGGAAGAAGAUGAGGGUGGCUUUUAAGAGUGGAGGAAGAAACAUGAAUAAUCUUUGCUUUGCUGAUGGUACUUGAAAAAGAUACGAGAAAAUGCAAAUGGAAUACAUGCUCUAGUGCUAAAUAUUAAAGAGCAGAGUGGAAAGAUGGUAUUAAAAUUAAAUAUAUAUAAAAAAUUCCAAAUCUAAUCACAACAGAUAGAAGAAUCAGCCUUAGAAUUGACAGUGGAGAUAUAUAUCCACUGUAUAUGUAUAUGUAUAUGUCAAUUUUAUUAAUAUUUUGCCUGUGGUUUGUUCAAACAAAUCUUCAAAAGAAAACAAAAAUCACCCCAGAGUUCUCACUGGAGGUACAAAUGACCAGGCUCAAAUUGUCUUACUUCAGACAGAUUAUGUGAAGACUCAACUCUUUGGAGAACUCUAUAAUGCUGGCAAAGGUGGAGGGAAAGAAAAAGGAGUAUGACCAGCAAGAUGGAUGGACUCAAUUAUAGUGAUAAUGGGCACACCCAAAGGACCAGGUUGGAGAUAGAUCAUUCCAGAUCUAUCUACAGUAUGAGGUUGCUAAGAGAUGACACCAAUCUAAUGGUAUAUAAUCUAUCAAUCAAGUCUGUUUAGAGAUGCAUAUAUUGGGCUGUCUUAAUCUGUGAUCAGGCUGGUCCUAGAGGAAAAAGAAAUAGUGACUGAUGUAAGAGGCAUGUUAUAUAAAGCAAGGUAACCAACAAAUUUAAGGACAUAUCUAAAUAUUAUAAUGUGUUUCACAUUUUAUUUAUUUCAUUUGAAAGAAACAUAACAAAGAUUGAUUUGGGCUACAAUAUGACCCCAGGUUGUAAUAUUAUUUUUGGCUUUUCUUUCUUUCUUUUUUUAA